ensembl:lncRNA
GUCGCUAUUGUCUUCUAACUGUGACGUCGGCCGAGUCGCGGCGGAAACCGAGAACCUCGGCGAGGCCUGCGUGCGCGCCUGGAAGGCCUGAAGCCGCUCUGUCUAGAAAUGCGGAUUGCGACUGACUUUGCAGCGCGCCGCAGUUGCUGUGUGAAAGUUGGGUGGUUCUCAGACAGCCAUGCGCUGGAGAACAAGAUGCCUGAUGAAGUCAUUUGUGAAACCUCCAUGCACUGGGUGAGACAUAGUGCUUCAAGGAAGAUAUUUUCUAAGACGGUAUGGAAUGAGCAAAAGGUACAAACUACAAAAAAAGGUUUUGUUCUGUUGUCUGCCUUCCUUCUGUGACUGAAGAUCUUGUGCAUCUAAACCCACCAAAACUCAUCCCAUUCUUACCACCAGUAAGGAACUUAGCCAUGAGCUUUCAAGCCACCUAAUUCUGGUCCUCCAGACAGAAAGAGAACCACUCGGAAGCUUCCAGGAAAUGUUCUUUUUCUCAAAUGAAGGCACCAUGCAGGAAGAGCUACAGUGGGCAAGAGAGCUCCAUGGAGAGGCCCACUGCCUUACUCUGCUGCAGUGGGUGUGCUCUGGUGAGGUGGGGCCCCAAAGACCUCAUCCCAGGACUGCUUCUUGCUGCUGCUGUCUGCACUGCCACACUCCUCAUUUAUUUGGCUUGGUGUGAGUGGACACCAGGAGACCCUCACUGCCUAUAGCAUGGUGUGAUUACUUCCUUGGCUAGCCUAGACCUCACUGUGUAGUGAGGCUGGCCUCAAACUCACAGACAUCUGCCUGCUUCUGCCUGACUCCUUGUCCUGUUUCUAAAUAAGAAGACUUCAUUUAAAUUGACAAGCCAGUGACAUACAUCGAAUGGACCACCUGUCCAUCCUGACCUUUUCUUCUCAACAAAGACUUUACUUUUAGUUAAGGAUUCUGAGGGAAGUUAAAAGAGAGAAAAAACAAUCCACAGAAUAUAAAUACAAAAGUAAAGAGAAGAAAAUCUGUACAGAACAACUAUGAAAACAAGAGAAAACAGUUAAUAAAAGUGCAGUGGCAAAGCCUCUCUAUC